UUGGUGGUGGGGGAGUAGCCGGGCACGCCCGGGUAAUACCGCAUACGGUUGCCGAGGGGAGUCCCUUGGCAAAGAAACCUCCGGGGCACAGAGAGGGGCUCGCGGCCUAUCAGCUAGUUGGUGAGGUAAUGGCUCACCAAGGCGACGACGGGUAGCUGGUCUGAGAGGAUGGCCAGCCACAUUGGGACUGAGAUACGGCCCAG
rnacentral:rRNA from 1 species